rnacentral:rRNA from 1 species
CGAAGGGGCUAGCGUUGCGUCGGAAUUACGUGGGACGUAAAGGGAGCGUAGGCGGACAUUUAAGUCGAAGGGGUGAAAAUCCCGGGGCUCAAACCUCGGAAUUGCCUUUGAUUACUGGGUGUCUUGAGUAUGGAGAGAGGUGUGUGGAACUCCGAGUGUAGAGGUGAAAUUCGUAGAUAUUCGGAAGAACACCAGUGGCGAAGGCGACAUACUGGCUCAUUACUGACGCUGAGGCUCGAAAAGCGUGGGGAGCAAACAGGAUU